GUAGGGGUGCAAGCGUUAAUCGGAAUUACUGGGCGUAAAGCGUGCGCAGGGCGGUUUUGUAAGUCUGUCGUGAAAGCCCCGGGGCUCAACCUGGGAAUUGCGAUGGAGACUGCAAGGCUUGAAUCUGGCAGAGGGGGGUAGAAUUCCACGUGUAGCAGUGAAAUGCGUAGAGAUGUGGAGGAACACCGAUGGCGAAGGCAGCCCCCUGGGUCAAGAUUGACGCUCAUGCACGAAAGCGUGGGGAGCAAACAGGAUUAGAUACCCUGGUAGUCCACGCCCUAAACGAUGUCUACUAGUUGUCGGGUUUUAAUUAACUUGGUAACGCAGCUAACGCGUGAAGUAGACCGCCUGGGGAGUACGGUCGCAAAGAUUA
rnacentral:rRNA from 1 species